GUGUGGGACCUUCGGGCCACAUGCCAUAGGAUGAACCCAAGUGGGAUUAGGUAGUUGGUGGGGUAAUGGCCUACCAAGCCGACGAUCUCUAGCUGGUCUGAGAGGAUGACCAGCCACACCGGGACUGAGACACGGCCCGGACUCCUACGGGAGGCAGCAGUGGGGAAUAUUGCGCAAUGGGGGCAACCCUGACGCAGCCAUGCCGCGUGAAUGAAGAAGGCCUUCGGGUUGUAAAGUUCUUUCGGUGACGAGGAAGGUUGUUGUGUGAAUAGCACAACAAAUUGACGUUAAUCACAGAAGAAGCACCGGCUAACUCC
rnacentral:rRNA from 1 species